GACAGAGGUGCCGAGCGUUAGGCGGAAUCACUGGGCUUAAAGCGUGUGUAGGCGGGUCGUUAAGUGCCUUGUGAAAUCCCACAGCUCACCUGUGGAACUGCUUGGCAUACUGGCGAUCUUGAGCCACUUAGGGGCAACCGGAACAAACGGUGGAGCGGUGAAAUGCGUAGAUAUUGCUCGGAAGGCCAGAGCCGAGGGGGCCCCAUUGGUACGUAACUGACGCUGAGGCACGAAAGCGUGGGGAGCAAACAGG
rnacentral:rRNA from 1 species